GUUUUCUUCGUCGUUGGAAUAAAAUCUUUCAAGCAGGGAAACUGUACACAAAGAAACGGAUCUGGACAGAGAAUAUGGUUUUGUUGUGAUAAUCAUGAGUUGAUUCGGGGUACCUGUGUUGAAUGUUUACAUGGAUUUGAAGCCAUUGAUGGUUCUUCCUGUAAGCCUUGUGAAAACGGUAGAUACGGACGCAAAUGUGGUUACCAUUGCA